rnacentral:rRNA from 1 species
UCCUUAGAUGUUCUGGGCCGCACGCGUGCUACACUGAUGCAUUCAACGAGUCUAAAACCUGGUCUGAUAGGGCUGGGUAAUCUUUUGAAAGUGCAUCGUGAUUGGGAUAGAUGAUUGCAAUUCUUCAUCUUCAACGAGGAAUGCCUAGUAAACGCAAGUCAUCAGCUUGCAUUGAUUACGUCCCUGCCCUUUGUACACACCGCCCGUCGCUCCUACCGAUUGAAUGAUCCGAUGAAUACCAUGGAUUGAGAGUACGAAUGGGUUCGCUCAUUUCUGCUGCUCGAGAAGUGGAGUAAAUCUUAUCAUUUAGAGGAAGGAGAAGUCGUAACA